UGAUGGCACACCAGCCGAGAGGGGGGUAAAAAGGGGGUGGCAGGGGAGCGGUCGAGUCGAACGUCUCUCGAAACUUGAAAGCCGUGCCCAUUGCCCACUCUCGUAUCUUGCUGCAGCAGCAAACGGAAGUGCACAUUCCAAACAGAAAACCCGUUUCCAAAGGCAGCACCCGGGGACCAGGGAGUGGGAGAGUGGGAUGGGAGCAGCCCGUGUUGGAGAAAGACGCUGCUACGAUGGGGCAACUAAUAAAUCCGCCAGUGGGUAAAGAGAGCAGCAAGUCUCAGUCGGUGGAUCGAGAUGUCGGUGGAGAUUCGGGGAGCUUGGGAAGAAGGCAAAGGAGUAGCAUCACCCAAAAGAAUGACACCCUGUUCACAGCAAAAGACCUGUUCUUGAUCCUACACUGACUUUUCCCUCAGUGUGAUGAUCAGGUAGAGGAGGAGCAAUGAGGAAAUGCGUCCGUCCUUCCCCUACUACCUGAUCUGCACUUUGCUUUACAUCUUGUAGGACUUCUUGGAAACCCGGCUACGGAUCUGUUCGAGACCCAUCAAAGAAUGGAAUGAAGUAACUGAAAGGAAGAAUGACGAGGCAUGUGGUGCUUAUGCCUAUAGUGGUGCUGUUGCUGUCGUUGACAUUUGAUCUCUUUUAUGAGGUCUUCCUUGAGCGAACUCAAGUGCAGCAUCGGUUUUUGUUUAUCUCAUCGUUUCUGUUGUGCUGGUGUUUUUGGUUUGGCCCUAAAUCAACCCCUAAAGCCAAGGGAUUUGACCCUAGUCCACAAAUUGUCUGUAAUUCAAUGAGUUUACUUGGGGGUCUCAGUUCGUUUCAUAUCGAUAGUGGUUGAUAGAAGAUGUUCCUUUGACGGCCAAAUGUAAAGAAACCUGAGUAUAUUCACUCAGCCAAUAAAAGGUCUUACCAUUCAGAUCAAUUUCUUUCAGAAUUUUAAUGAAUCAUAAACUAUCUAGGGUUUAUAUUUCGUAAUAUAAGAAAAGAUCAACAGUCAAGUUUCAAGGCAAGAUAGAAGCCAAUUUAUUCUUCAUUUUAGAAAUUUCAAUGAAUCCUUAAAGAUUUCAGUUUUAAAAUUGUUAAGAAGGAAUUUUUUUUUACCAAAGAGAGAAAUAUAAACAUAAACCAACUAUUACCGAUUUUUCCAGACAUUUGACAAUCGAUAACCUAUGAGUAAUAAUGGUAUAGGUUCUCUUAGGGUUCGAGUUCAAGUUGCUCCUAUGGAUGUGUUUACUUUUUGCACGUGUAUUUUAGCUUUCAGAUAUUGCCUUAUGUGUGUAUGUCUGCUCGCUCAUAUCAAAUACUCAAUUAAUAAGCAUAAAAAAAGAUAUUCAAAAUUCGAAAUAGCUAAGUCAACGACCUGCUUUGCUUUUAUAACUGCUCAGCGGGCAACACUCGUCGUCGUAUAUUUAAGAAGCAGCAACAACGCUCGUAACUCUUGAUUUACCUUAGCCCCCGAAACGCCCCGUAAUACCCCUUUUUUCCGACACUUAUAGACGCUGCUGAGCGUGCAUAACAAGCGCGUGAGCGUAUCGUGUUUGCUAUUUGUGUUUGCUUUCGCUUAGCAGUAUUGGUAUUUUGGUACCCCUCACCUAUACGAUGGAAAAAAGUAAAAAAAAAAAAAAAUAAAUAAAUAAAUAAAAAUGCCAAUUCCGGGUUCUUCUUCGCAGCAAAAAGUCGAAUCAAAUAUAUAGAAAAAGUAUGCGAAGAAGUGGGGAAAUAAAACCAAAUGUCUGCGGUUCAUUUUCUGUCUAGAUCGUCAGUUUAUGUGCUCAGCUCAAACGCCGUAGGCAGUUUCCUUUUGUUUUAUUAUUAUUUAUUUGGGAUUUUUUGGGAGCAGACUCUCAAAAAACAAGGGAAGCUCAAAGCUCAAGCUCAGGCAAAUCAAUCAUCGUUACGCACUUUUGAAGAAGCUUAAG